rnacentral:rRNA from 1 species
GUGGGGAAUUUUGGACAAUGGGGGCAACCCUGAUCCAGCCAUUCCGCGUGAGUGAAGAAGGCCUUCGGGUUGUAAAGCUCUUUCGGCAGGAACGAAACGGUGAGCUCUAACAUAGCUCGCUAAUGACGGUACCUGAAGAAGAAGCACCGGCUAACUACGUGCCAGCAGCCGCGGUAAUACGUAGGGUGCGAGCGUUAAUCGGAAUUACUGGGCGUAAAGCGUGCGCAGGCGGUUGUGUAAGACAGGUGUGAAAUCCCCGGGCUUAACCUGGGAACUGCGCUUGUGACUGCACGGCUAGAGUAUGGCAGAGGGGGGUGGAAUUCCACGUGUAGCAGUGAAAUGCGUAGAGAUGUGGAGGAACACCGAUGGCGAAGGCAGCCUCCUGGGAUAACACUGACGCUCAUGCACGAAAGCGUGGGGAGCAAACAGGAUUAGAAACCCUUGUAGUCC